GGAGAAGUACUCAAGAGGCUGAAGAGGACGGUUUGCUAAACCGUUAGGCCGGAUUUUUCCGGCGCGCGGGUUCGAAUCCCGCCUUCUCCG
rnacentral:tRNA from 3 species